CGAGCGGCGAACGGGUGAGUAAACGUGGGUAACCUGCCCUGUACUCUGGGAUAAGCCUGGGAAACUAGGUCUAAUACCGGAUAUGACCGUCACGGGCAUCCGUGGUGGUGGAAAGUUCCGGCGGUACGGGAUGGGCCCGCGGCCUAUCAGCUUGUUGGUGGGGUAGUGGCCUACCAAGGCGACGACGGGUAGCCGGCCUGAGAGGGUGACCGGCCACACUGGGACUGAGACACGGCCCAGACUCCUACGGGAGGCAGCAGUGGGGAAUAUUGCACAAUGGGCGCAAGCCUGAUGCAGCGACGCCGCGUGAGGGAUGACGGCCUUCGGGUUGUAAACCUCUUUCAGCAGGGACGAAGCGCGAGUGACGGUACCUGCAGAAGAAGCACCGGCUAACUACGUGCCAGCAGCCGCGGUAAUACGUAGGGUGCGAGCGUUGUCCGGAAUUAUUGGGCGUAAAGAGCUCGUAGGCGGUUUGUUGCGUCGGCCGUGAAAACUUCACGCUUAACGUGGAGCCUGCGGUCGAUACGGGCAGACUUGAGUUCGGCAGGGGAGACUGGAAUUCCUGGUGUAGCGGUGAAAUGCGCAGAUAUCAGGAGGAACACCGGUGGCGAAGGCGGGUCUCUGGGCCGAUACUGACGCUGAGGAGCGAAAGCGUGGGGAGCGAACAGGAUUAGAUACCCUGGUAGUCCACGCCGUAACGGUGGGUGCUAGGUGUGGGGGGCUUCCACGUCCUCCGUGCCGCAGCUAACGCAUUAAGCAC
rnacentral:rRNA from 1 species